rnacentral:rRNA from 1 species
AUACGGAGGGGGCUAGCGUUGUUCGGAAUUACUGGGCGUAAAGGGCGCGUAGGCGGACCAGACAGUCUCUCGUGAAAUCCCACGGCUCAACCGUGGAACUGCGGGAGAUACUACUGGCCUUGAGUUCGGGAGAGGAGUGUGGAAUUCCCAGUGUAGCGGUGAAAUGCGUAGAUAUUGGGAGGAACACCGGUGGCGAAGGCGGCACUCUGGACCGAUACUGACGCUGAGGCGCGAAAGCUAGGGGAGCAAACGGGAUUAGAAACCCCUGUAGUCC